CUUUCUUCAUCUUACUUCUUCCUCGUUCGGCUCGUUUCUGUUCCUUUCAAGUGCACAGUUCAGGCCUCUCUCAACUCAGUGCCUUUUAUCUUUAUGUAAAAAUAAUUACAUUUUUUUAUUUUUGAAUUUUAUUUAAUACUAUUUACCAGCUGGUUGACAAGAAAUAGGAUAAAUAAUGGAUGAUUUAGAUGAGGAUUUGGCCGGCUUACCUGGUGAUACGAAGGAAAAAGAGGAGGUAAUCAAUGACGAAUUCGUAGCAAGGGAC